rnacentral:lncRNA from 1 species
AAAUUUCUUACGUCCAUUACGUGUAGGAAAUAUAAGAGGUAUAGGCAUGCCCACAUCUAGUUACUCGUAUUCGGAUGACCCACCCACCAACCCACGAACCCAUGUCAUUUAUGACCUGGUAAACGCGAUCAGUUGGAACGGUACUUGCCAAAAUUGAACGAUUAUUAUACGUCUCCACGCGCAUACAGAAACGAGGGAUGUAGUUAUGCCGCCAUGACGUUACCUUGUACGUGUAAUUUUAGGCCUAGAUGAUAAUUUUAUUAACGAACGCCAAUUAGCCAGAGCAACACUUGGGUUUGUGGCGAAAGCUGAGGUCGUAUGAAGCAUUUUAACGAGCAAAUUCAGAUCAGACGAUAUUUGAGUUCGUGGUAGCGUAUGAACCCUGAAGCGACGGGGUGGUUUAUCGCGUUGUUCUAAAUACGACGCAAAACAUACGACAACAACUCUAAUUUAGGUCGCUGCAAGCAAUGCUAUAAUAUCGACGAUCAAAUCACGCUAUAUGAUCGUCGAUCGAUCAGAUCAUGCUGCCGCACGGCAAGAGUUUAUCAUUAUAACCUUGUCGGUGCGUUAGUAAUAAAGUAUACCAUCUAUACGAAGACGUACAUGGAUGGAUAGGCCGAUUCAAGUGAGCAUAUCGAGCCGCAAACUACAAACCCUGAGAGAUGACGGACCACGCACAUCUAAGGCAAUGGACGCGACCCAGGCUAAAAUUGUUUCCCCGUGUCAGUAUUCACAAUCUACUUGUUUGUGGUUGGGCGUGAACGUUGCUUCUGGCACGCGGCAUACCGUCGUAUCGACUUUGAAAAACUUCAAUGAACGUCACACCCGGAGCGCCUUCGCGAUAUCCUGUGAAGUCAAGUUAGAAUUACGCAUUCAUGGGGCAAGUCUUCCGCUGUUUUCUCGUGUCGUCUUUUCAAGGUAGCCCAUGGCGAAGUGAUCCUGCAGAUGAUUUUUUACUAUUUAUUCACGGCUGUUAGUGGCAGCAGAGGCACACGAAAUGACGACAGCGCUAGCGAGGUGUUACGAGCUUCAGAGAUGCAAAACAGGAGCCGUGCAAAGGGAAGCAAAUGAAGUGGGCUGACCCAGGUGCGGGUGGGUCCCCCCGAGUCGACAGCAGCAGCAGCAUCUAGAGGAUGCAACCAUCGUUUGACUCGUCGCGCCGCUCAAGAAAGACGUUAAGUUAGCAGACACCGUAGGAGACGCUUGCGGCGCGAGGGCGUUUCGAGCGGAAGCGGUAACACCACACGGCGACAAGUAACAUUCAUAACCAACAAGCGACGCUUAUAUUCAGCGCACAGUAUACAAACGGACGUCUCAUGUCUAGCCAUGUACACGGCAACCAAAUAGCAAUAUAUAUGCAUGCAAUUACAACUGUAUGAAAGCUGAGUGAGGUCGGAUUUGGGGCAACUAGCCCUGUUGCUCUGGUUGCAAGUCUCUGAAACCCAUUUUUGGCCAAUGCCAUUACUAUCCGUGGAUGCUUCUGCUAGGAGCCACCGAUUACGACGAUGUCGACGAUCGUUACUCCUAUAAAUACAACGAUGACUACUUCAAGCACCCGCGUGGAUAUAUACUAUUAGCUUUUUUCGCCUCAUCGUUUUAGGUGGGGGUUUAUACGUAUUACGAAUUUUACGCGCCGAUCUUACGGACAUCGGCUGAUAAUGUGGAUGUAGACUAACUGAUGAUCAAGAACGUGAUGACACGGUACUGACUGAAGAGACUUUAAUUGCAGCUGCAAUAAAAAUCCAUUGUGAUUCUCGACGCUGACUUCAUAAGAUUCUUGUGGCGCUGCAUUGAGCGGUGGAAACGUGUGGCCUUUCGUAUGACCUAUUUACCACUAAAUCUGUAAAAGAAG